GACGAACGCUGGCGGCGUGCUUAACACAUGCAAGUGGAGCGACGAACCAGGGCUUGCCCUGGGGCAGAGCCGCGAACGGGUGAGUAACACGUGGGCAACCUGCCUAUAAGACUGGGAUAACUUCGGGAAACCGGAGCUAAUACCGGAUACGUUCUUUCNCGCAUGAGAGAAGAUGGAAAGACGGCAUCUCGCUGUCACUUA
rnacentral:rRNA from 1 species